rnacentral:rRNA from 1 species
UGGCGGACGGGUGAGUAACGCGUAGGUAUCUAUCCUUGGGUGGGGGGACAACAGUGGGAAACUACUGCUAAUACCGCAUGAUGACCGAGGUCCAAAGGUCGCAAGACCGCCUGGGGAGGAGCCUGCGUACGAUUAGCUAGUUGGUGGGGUAAAGGCCUACCAAGGCUACGAUCGUUAGCUGGUCUGAGAGGAUGAUCAGCCACAUUGGGACUGAGACACGGCCCAA